UGUGUGUAUGUGUAUGUAUAUGAAUGUGUGUGGUGUGGUUGUGUGUGUGUGUGUGUGUGUGUGUGUGUUAUAUAGCUACAACUCCUAUUGUGUUCAUGGUUGUAAUGGCCCUAUCAUAUCUCGGACUUACUUCAGAUUUGAAAUACAAAAUUAUAUAACCAAAUUUAACUUUUAAAACCACUUCUCUGAUAGAUACAGGAAACUGAGACGGGAGCAGAUGAGCAAUUUUGUGAUGCCAUCAGGAGUCCUGGACUUGGAUAUUAGCCUUAAAUGAAAAGAACUUGAGACAUAUUUAGGAGGACCACCUGUCUGGAGAGCUGUCCUAUCUGGCCAUCCAGAUUUCUAGAAAGGAUUAGUGGAUAGAUAAGAGUAAAUGGUUUACACACAUGGAAAAUCAUGUUUGGUCUAUCUACAACACCAUCCAAAUGUUAGCGAGAUGAGAAAUAAAGAAACUAAAUGCAGGAACAUGUCAAGUCCAUCAAGUCGAUAUGACCUACACUUUGAGUUUAUAUAUUACAUAUUCACCUAAAUAUGGUAUCUGUUUUGUCAUACUUAAAAUCUGUUUACUCAAACAGUAUAUUUGAAUCAGAAUUUAGGAUAUAGAAAACUACAAGAAAUAUCACUCUUCCUUAACAUAUUACAAAAAAUCAAAACUUCUUAGUUUAUGAGGAGGGUAUUAGGCAACAAAGUCAAAAGAUGCCCCACCCCCAUAGAUGGGCACCACCUAAGUAAAUAAGAAGACACCAAUCAGUGUGCUCCUCAGAGUAAAAUGACAUUGUGAGAGACACAGGCAUGCUCUUUUCUCCUGGGUGUGCCCUAGGAAGACUGGGUGGUGAGCAGACUAGAAAGCCACCUGUAGGUGAAGAUGGUAUAGGCCAGAUAGGAGGAGCUAACAUGACAGCUGGCUCUAGGGAUCCUUUUACACAGAGCAAACAUCUGUAGCCACUGGGGAGGGCAGUGAGCCUUGUUAUCCUCCAGAGACAAAUAAAAAUAUACUGUGAAUUCAGUAUAGGGAAGGACUGAAGGAAAAACUUCUAUCCUCAGGAGAGAAACAGAAGACUGUCCACAAACCCAGGGUUCCACUCCAAGCAGGAGUUCAUUUCUACUGAAGGCACUAGCAACUCCUACCCAGGACCAAACACAGACAAAAGUCAAGUCUGGCCACCGGGAUUCACAAAGGCAGGAAUUCUGGGAAGAUUCUAACCCAAAUUCCCAGUAUACCAAGCUUAACCAAAUUCCCAGUAUACCAAGCUUAACCAAAAUCCCCACAAUAAGCCUAGCACCGUGUCACCAGCAAAAGCUCAGCAGCAGGUAAGUGUAUGAGGGGCCCUACUGCAUGCAGGUAAGUGUAUGAGGGGCCUACUGCAUGCAGGUAAGCGUAUGAGGGGCCCUACUGCAUGCAGGUAAGUGUAUGAGGGGCCCUACUGCAUGCAGGUAAGCGUAUGAGGGGCCCUACUGCAUGCAGGUAAGUGUAUGAGGGGCCCUACUGCAUGCAGGUAAGUGUAUGAGGGGCCCUACUGCAUGCAGGUAAGUGUAUGAGGGGCCUACUGCACGCAGGUAAGUGUAUGAGGGGCCUACUGCACACAGGUAAGUGUAUGAGGGGACCUACUGCACACAGGUAAGUGUAUGAGGGGCCCUACUGCACACAGGUAAGUGUAUGAGGGGACCUACUGCACACAGGUAAGUGUAUGAGGGGCCUACUGCACGCAGGUAAGUGUAUGAGGGGCCUACUGCACGCAGGUAAGUGUAUGAGGGGCCUACUGCACACAGGUAAGUGUAUGAGAGGCCUACUGCAUGCAGGUAAGUGUAUGAGGGGCCUACUGCACACAGGUAAGUGUAUGAGGGGCCUACUGCAUGCAGGUAAGUGUAUGAGGGGACCUACUGCACACAGGUAAGUGUAUGAGGGGCCUACUGCACGCAGGUAAGUGUAUGAGGGGACCUACUGCACACAGGUAAGUGUAUGAGGGGCCUACUGCAUGCAGGAGUGCAGAGAUGACUGAAAGCUGACAAUGCAACACUAAGUCAGCACCCAGGUCCCAUCUCAGCACAACACAAUAGCAGCAACCUCCGGAGAGUGUGAAGCAUUUGGUACAGCAAGGGUAACCAUAGCAACAGCCAAACUCAAGACCAGCUCAACCAAGCCUGGAUCACUGCUGGUCUUUUCCAGGAGUGAGGACUAUGUAUCUCAUUCUAUCUUGUAACCAACAACAAAAACCUGAGAUACACUAAAAACAGGAAAACCCACCGCUGAGAAAUACAGCAAAUCAAUUUAACUCUGACUCAGAUGGCACAGUUAGCAAAUCCACCAGGCAGGGCAUGUUAAGACCUAGGUGGAAACUCUUAGCAUUAAAAGGAAUCACUAUGAGAGAAGUUGAACAAAACACAUUAGAUUAAAAAAGCAAAAACAAAAUAAAAACCUCUGUCAAUGGGCUCCUCAAGAGACUUGAGACAGCUGGGCUUAAAGAUAUGCUAAAAGAAAUUAUUAGAACUAAAA
rnacentral:sRNA from 1 species